AAGCUCGUAGUUGAAUUUCGGGGUUAGUAGGUUGGUCAUGCCUCUGGUAUGUACUGGUCUCACUGAUCCCUCCUUCCUUAUGAACCGUAAUGCCAUUAAUUUGGUGUUGCGGGGAAUUUGGACUGUUACUUUGAAAAAAUUAGAGUGUUUAAAGCAAGCUAACGCUUGAAUACAUUAGCAUGGAAUAAUGAAAUAGGACGUUCGAUCUUAUUUUGUUGGUUUUCUAGGAUUGACGUAAUGAUUAAUAGGGAUAGUUGGG
rnacentral:rRNA from 1 species